AUGUCGCCAAUGAAGAAGAUAAUUGUUAUGACCGGCAUGCACAAGAUUUUCAACAAGUUUCAGAAAAUGGUUCACACCUAUGACCCUAGGUCUGAGGCUCUGGAAACCAUUCUUUCAAUCACGGAGACACACUCAAUUCCACAAUAUGCUUGUCCUAGUUCAAGAUUCGGUUUCAUUCAAGAGACCCUUGCUCCCGUGCAUAGAACAGAUGAAGCCUUGUCAUCUGACCUGACAAAGGUGACUAGAGAGAUCCUACUCCGCCUCCCAGCUAAAUCAGCCAUACAGUCCAAAUUUGUCUGCAAGCAGUGGUUCAGAUUGGUUGAGAGUGAAAACUUCAUUCGGUCAUACUUUCAGCAUAAGAACAUGGACAAAAGACCUAAGGUCAUGCUUGUGGUCAAGAGCAUUGGACAGUUGGGCUUCAGUUUCGCUCCAUUGAAUAAAUGCCUCCAAGAAGCUCCUAGUCACAAUACAUUGCUUGAUACGAAGGUGGUUUGCUCUAAGCCUUGA
rnacentral:rRNA from 1 species